rnacentral:rRNA from 1 species
UACGUAGGUGGCAAGCGUUAUCCGGAUUUACUGGGUGUAAAGGGCGUGUAGGCGGGAGUGCAAGUCAGAUGUGAAAACCACGGGCUCAACCUGUGGCCUGCAUUUGAAACUGGAAGUCUAGAGUGCAGGAGAGGAGAAUGGAAUUCCUAGUGUAGCGGUGAAAUGCGUAGAGAUUAGGAAGAACACCAGUGGCGAAGGCGAUUCUCUGGACUGUAACUGACGCUGAGGCUCGAAAGCGUGGGGAGCAAACAGG